AUAGCAGAGAUAUUUAAGCAAUAUUCCAGGCAAGAGAGAGGUGGUGUCACUGGUUCAAGAAUCGAGGAUGCUUUCCUAGCAGUUCCUAAACGCUUCGCCAACGCAGCGCAGUUCCAAAGAUUUGCAUUGUCUGGGAAAGGUUUAUCGCUCAGUAUGCACGAGGUUGGAAACAUAAAAGAAAAUGCAAAAAAUGUGGAAGAGAGGAAUCUGGAUUUGCUCGUUUUCUGGAAAUUGAAAAACGGAGAUUCAGCAACAACUGAAAACAUCUGGCAACUGGUAAAUGCUUUCCUGGAUGAAAAAGGAGAAUCCCAC